rnacentral:rRNA from 1 species
UACGAAGGGGGCUAGCGUUGUUCGGAAUCACUGGGCGUAAAGAGCUCGUAGGCGGCUUGUCGCGUCGACUGUGAAAACCCGCGGCUCAACUGCGGGCCUGCAGCCGAUACGGGCAGGCUAGAGUUCGGUAGGGGAGACUGGAAUUCCUGGUGUAGCGGUGAAAUGCGCAGAUAUCAGGAGGAACACCGGUGGCGAAGGCGGUUCUCUGGGCCUUACCUGACGCUGAGGAGCGAAAGCAUGGGGAGCGAACAGG